rnacentral:misc_RNA from 1 species
UGGGUCAGUUUGCAAGAGAGCUUCGACAAAAUCAAUAAACAGCUUGAGAAAGUCAUGCGGUUGACAGAAUCUGACAAGGUCCCUAAUCUUUACAUCAAAGCUCUUGUGAUGUUGGAGGAUUUCUUGAAUCAGGCUUUGGCAAAUAAGGAAGCAAAGAAGAAGAUGAGCAGUAGUAAUGCUAAGGCCUUGAACUCGAUGAAACAAAAACUGAAGAAGAACAAUAAGCAGUAUGAGGAUUUGAUUAAUAAGUAUAGGGAGAAUCCGGAGAGUGAGGAGGAACUAGAGGGAGAUGAGGAGACAGAAGAAGAUGAGGAUCGCCAGGAUAAUAGAACUGAGAUUGAAGGUGAUUGGCAGAAGAUGAUGAGCAAGAGAGAUAAACUCAUGGAUAGACAGUUUAUGAAAGAUCCUAGUGAAAUCACCUGGGAUACAGUGAACAAAAAGUUUAAGGAGGUUGUUGCUGCUCGAGGUAGGAAGGGAACUGGAAGGUUUGAGCAGGUUGAGCAACUAACCUUCCUGACCAAGGUUGCUAAGACCCCUGCACAGAAGCUUGAGAUUCUUUUUAGCGUGGUCUCUGCUCAGUUUGAUGUGAACCCAGGACUUAGUGGUCAUAUGCCUAUAAAUGUAUGGAAG